CCGGAGAAGAAAAACCAGACGCCGGAGGAGCCGAUCGCCACCACCUGCCGCUGCACCAAAGAAUUUUCUGACCGCCAAUUGAGGUAAAGUUUCUCCCCCUUGCUCAUUUUUCGAUGCUGAAUCCGCCUAUGGCCAAACUAGAGCCAAACCACUUGCCAAUUGGCCGAAAAACCCCGCCGAAGUCUGGCGGUGCAGCCGCGGCUUCCCUCUAUUUUUGCCUCCGAUGAGUCCCUUCCUGACCUCCGUUCGAUGGAAAUUU
rnacentral:lncRNA from 1 species